CCCUUCACUCUGGGACAAGCCCUGGAAACGGGGUCUAAUACCGGAUAACACUUCCACUCUCCUGGGUGGAGGUUAAAAGCUCCGGCGGUGAAGGAUGAGCCCGCGGCCUAUCAGCUUGUUGGUGAGGUAAUGGCUCACCAAGGCGACGACGGGUAGCCGGCCUGAGAGGGCGACCGGCCACACUGGGACUGAGACACGGCCCAGACUCCUACGGGAGGCAGCAGUGGGGAAUAUUGCACAAUGGGCGAAAGCCUGAUGCAGCGACGCCGCGUGAGGGAUGACGGCCUUCGGGUUGUAAACCUCUUUCAGCAGGGAAGAAGCGAAAGUGACGGUACCUGCAGAAGAAGCGCCGGCUAACUACGUGCCAGCAGCCGCGGUAAUACGUAGGGCGCAAGCGUUGUCCGGAAUUAUUGGGCGUAAAGAGCUCGUAGGCGGCUUGUCACGUCGGGUGUGAAAGCCCGGGGCUUAACCCCGGGUCUGCAUUCGAUACGGG
rnacentral:rRNA from 1 species